rnacentral:rRNA from 1 species
AGAGUUUGAUCCUGGCUCAGGAUGAACGCUAGCGGCAGGCUUAACACAUGCAAGUCGAGGGGCAGCGCGGUGUAGCAAUACACUGGCGGCGACCGGCGAAAGGGUGCGUAACGCGUGAGCAACUUGCCCGUAUCCGGGACAUAACCGAUGGAAACGUCGACUAAUUUCCCAUAACAACAGGGACCGCAUGAUCCCAGUUUGAAAGAUCCGUCGGAUACGGAUGGGCUCGCGAGACAUUAGCUAGUUGGAGUGGUAACGGCACACCAAGGCUACGAUGUCUAGGGGUUCUGAGAGGAAGGUCCCCCACAUUGGAACUGAGACACGGUCCAAACUCCUACGGGAGGCAGCAGUGAGGAAUAUUGGUCAAUGGACGCAAGUCUGAACCAGCCAUGCCGCGUGCAGGAAUAAGGCCCUAUGGGUCGUAAACUGCUUUUGUGGUGGAGCAAUAAGUCGUACGUGUACGGCGAUGAGAGUACCUCACCAAUAAGCAUCGGCUAACUCCGUGCCCACACCCGCGGUAAUACAGAGGAUGCAAGCGUUAUCCGGAUUUAUUGAGUUUAAAGGGAUGCUUAGGCUGUGUUCCAAGUUCAGGGGUGAAAGCCCCGGGAACUCCACUUCCCGAAAUUCCCCUUUUGAUAAUUGAAUGCUGGAAAUAAGGAUGCCGUGGGAAGGAAAAGGAAUAGUGUAGCGGGGAAAAUCCAUAGAUUUUUCUUCAAAACACGGAUUGAGAGGGCAUCUCACGAAUCCGUCUUUGACGCUUGAGGGCACGAAAGCGUGGGGAUCAAAACAGGAUUAGAUCCCCUGGUAGUCCACGCAGUAAACGAGGAUAACUAACCGUCGGCGAUAGACAGUCGGUGGCCAAGCGAAAGCGAUAAGUUAUCCACCUGGGGAGUACGUUUGCAAGAAUGAAACUCAAAGGAAUUGACGGGGGCCCGCACAAGCGGAGGAACAUGUGGUUUAAUUCGAUGAUACGCGAGGAACCUUACCCGGGCUCGAACGGCUAGUGAACGACACAGAGAUGUGAAGGUCCUUCGGGACACUAGUCGAGGUGCUGCAUGGUUGUCGUCAGCUCGUGCCGUGAGGUGUCGGGUUAAGUCCCAUAACGAGCGCAACCCCUACCGACAGUUGCCAUCGGGUGAAGCCGGGCACUCUGUCGGGACUGCCCGCGCAAGCGGAGAGGAGGGCGGGGAUGACGUCAAAUCAGCACGGCCCUUACGUCCGGGGCGACACACGUGCUACAAUGGCCGGUACAGAGGGGUGCUGUCCCGCGAGGGUCGGCGGAUCCGAAAAAGCCGGUCUCAGUUCGGAUCGGAGUCUGCAACCCGACUCCGUGAAGCUGGAAUCGCUAGUAAUCGCGCAUCAGCCAUGGCGCGGUGAAUACGUUCCCGGGCCUUGUACUCACCGCCGGUCA